rnacentral:rRNA from 1 species
GAGGUUAAGCGACUAAGCGUACACGGUGGAUGCCCUGGCAGUCAGAGGCGAUGAAGGACGUGCUAAUCUGCGAUAAGCGCCGGUAAGGUGAUAUGAACCGUUAUAACCGGCGAUUUCCGAAUGGGGAAACCCAGUGUGACUCGUCACACUAUCAUUAACUGAAUCCAUAGGUUAAUGAGGCGAACCGGGGGAACUGAAACAUCUAAGUACCCCGAGGAAAAGAAAUCAACCGAGAUUCCCCCAGUAGCGGCGAGCGAACGGGGAGGAGCCCAGAGCCUGAAUCAGCAUGUGUGUUAGUGGAAGCGUCUGGAAAGGCGCGCGAUACAGGGUGACAGCCCCGUACACAAAAGCGCAUGUGCUGUGAGCUCGAUGAGUAGGGCGGGACACGUGGUAUCCUGUCUGAAUAUGGGGGGACCAUCCUCCAAGGCUAAAUACUCCUGACUGACCGAUAGUGAACCAGUACCGUGAGGGAAAGGCGAAAAGAACCCCGGCGAGGGGAGUGAAAAAGAACCUGAAACCGUGUACGUACAAGCAGUGGGAGCACCCUUUGGGGUGUGACUGCGUACCUUUUGUAUAAUGGGUCAGCGACUUAUAUUCUGUAGCAAGGUUAACCGAAUAGGGGAGCCGGAGGGAAACCGAGUCUUAAUUGGGCGUUAAGUUGCAGGGUAUAGACCCGAAACCCGGUGAUCUAGCCAUGGGCAGGUUGAAGGUUGGGUAACACUAACUGGAGGACCGAACCGACUAAUGUUGAAAAAUUAGCGGAUGACCUGUGGCUGGGGGUGAAAGGCCAAUCAAACCGGGAGAUAGCUGGUUCUCCCCGAAAGCUAUUUAGGUA